AAACUGAAAGAAAAUAUCUGCAAAACAUAUAUUCGAUGAACAACUGGUAUCCAAAAUAUACCGUAAACACAUAAAGUUCAACAAUAAGAAAAUAAACAACUUGAUUUUAAAAUGGGCAGAAGAUCUGAACACACACGUCACCAAAGAAGAUACACAGAUCACAGAUAAGCACAUAAAAAGAUGCUCAAAAUCAUAUAUCAUUAGGGAAUCACAAAUUAAAACAACAAGACAACCGCUAGAUACUUAUUAGAAUGGCAAAAAUCCAGAACAUUGACAACAUCAAAUGCUGGCCAGGAUGUUGAGCAACAGGAAUUCUCAUUCAUUGCUGAUGGGAAUGCAAAAUGGUACAGCCACUAUGGAAGCCAAUUUGUUAGUUUCUUACAAAACUAAACAUAGUUUUGCCAUACAAUGCAGCUAUCACACUCCUUGGUAUCUAAACAAAUAUGUUGAAAACUUAUGACCACACAAAAACCUGCACAGGAAUGUUUUAUUUAUAGCAGUUUUAUUCAUAGUUGCCAAAACUUGGAAGGAACAAAGAAGUCCUUCAAUAGGUAAGGGAAUAAGUAAAUUCUGAUACAUCCAGACAAUGGAAUGUUAUGUUGUGAUAAAAAAGAAAUGAGCUAUCAAGCCACAAAAAGACAUGGAAGAAAAUUAAAUGCAUAUUACAAAGUGAAACAAGCCAAUCUGGAAGGCUACUCAGGAUCGCCUGAGCCCAGGAGGUGGAGACUGCAGUGAGCCAUGAUCGAUCGCACGCCUGAACUCCAGUCUUGGCAACAGAAUGAGAUAUUGUCUCUAUAAUUAAUUAAUUAUAUCAGUAGUUGUCAUGGAGCUCAUGGGAAAGGAGAGAGGGAUGAAUGGGUGGACCACAGGUGAUUUUUAGGACAAAUUCUAUUCUGUAUGAUACUGUAAUAGUGGAUACAUGUAUCAAAACCCAUAGAAUGUAUAACACAAAGAAUGAACCCUUAUGUAAACGAUGAACUUUAGUUAAUAACAUAUCAAAAUUGUCUCAUCAAGUGUAACAAAUGUUACACUAAUCCAAGAUGCUAGUAACAGGGGAAAAUAGGGAGGGGGAUAUGAGAACACUACCCUGUUCAAAUUUUCUAUAAACCUUAAAGUGCUCAAAAAAUAAAAAAUAAAGCACAUAUAAUAUGAUUUUACCAGUGCUAUCAACAUGCCUUCCAUAAACCUCUGGCCCCUCCAAUUUCUAGUCCCUGCCCUCUCGGGAUCCCGCCCACUGGUAAAUCUCUAGCCCAUUCACUCACUCUUGGCUGUUGCUUCUCCUUACACUUUUCACCCACCUUUGAAGCACGCCAUUUCCUCCUGUUUCUUUUGGCUGAGUUAGUCCACUUGUGGUGCAUUCCAUGCCCUGGAUGUUUCCCCAUCUGGUAUCUUCCUUUCUCUCAAAGGAAACUCUUUUGGGGUCAUCAGUAAAAGGAUCAAAGCACACAGAACCCAAGCGGCUUAUUCAUUUUGGGGUGUGGACUUAUCACAGAUGAUAAACCUACAUGGUCCAGUCUAGAUGAAUGGGAAUAAUACAUCUUUAUUUUUGACCAUCUCGCUUGCUUAUACCAUAAGUAAUUUCCUGAAGGUCUUAAUUUUCUGGAAGCCAUGCUGGAGGCAGGAGUGAUUUAGAAAGAUGAUCUUUAUUAUACUUGGCUUAAAGCAAAAGGAUUUAAAACAUGACCUUUAUGUUAUUUUUCCAAACUAAUAAUGGAAGUGGUAUUAGGGUAAUAUAUUUAUAGGUGAGAUUCCAGGGCUGAUUUAGUAAAUAUUAAUUUCUAAUACUUUGUCAUUCCCACUGCAUUAUUCUCCUAUAGCUGUCACAACAAAUCACCAUAAACCGGGCAGCUUAAAACAACAGAAAUUUGUUCUCUCUCAGUUCUGGAGGCUAGAAGCCUGAAACCAAGGUGUCGGUAGCACCAUGCUCCCAUGCUUCCUUCUAGGGAAGAAUGCUUCCUUACCAGUUCUGGCUUCUGCCUAUUCUUGGCACUCCUUGGCUUGUGGCAGCACAACUCCACUCUCUGCUUCCAUCUUCACAUGCCCAACUUCCUUCCAUUUAUGUGUAUCUGUGCCAAAUUUCCCUCUUCUUAUAAGGACAUCUGUCAUUGGAUUAGGGUUUACCCUAAUGAAUUUGGGGAGGACCCUAUUCAAUCCACUACAACCACCCUUUAUGUACACGUAGCUGGUUUCUCUGUCAAUUAUAUUUUAGAGUGAGGACGUUGCUUCUCCUCUAACAAGAUAUUAUAAUAACAAUUAUUGUCAAAUUAUUUAAUGAAUGCUUACUAUAUGACAGUUACAUGCAUUAACUCAUUUAACCCUCUGACAAUUCUAUGAAAUAGGUGCUAUUUUUAUUUCUAUUUUGCAGAUGAGCAGCCAGAGAGAGUUUACAUAGGGCAAAUAUCACCAUUACCUAGCAAGAACAAAAUAAGAGGAAUAAGCAGUCCCCUUGUAUUUUGGUUACUUAAAAGGGAUGGAUCUCAAGACAAAGGAAAAUGGUUGGGUGCACGAGGGGCCAGAUGCUGGAACCAGUUCUGAAGAAGUGUUCCUGGGGCCAAGAGGAUCUGAGAGGUGGCCAGGUGUGAAGACUGAACAAGCUGAGCGUUAAGAACAGCAAAGUUGGCCAGGCAUGGUGGUGCAUACCUGUAGUCUCAGCUCCCUGGGAGGCUGAGGUGGGAGGAAUAUGAAGGCCCAGGAGUUCAAAUCCAGCCUGGGCAACACAAUGAGACCCUGUCUUAAAAAAAAAAAAAAAUCAGCAAGCUGGGAAAUAAACUUGGGGCACACUGGGCACUUCGUCAUGAGGAAACCAAAAUCUCCUGCCUUGGCAAGCUUCAGGAGCCAUAUAAGGACUGAGCCAGCCUCACCCAUUACACUGUGUAGGGACACUCUUCAGCAACGACAUCAUGUGGCAGAAGAAAACAUGGCCAUAGGGGAUUCCUUCAUUGUGCAAUUACCUAUAAGAAGAAGAAAAGGAAGAAAAGAGGAAGAAGAACGAGGAGGAGGAGGAGGUCUAAAAAGGAAAUGCUUAAAUUCUUGCUGAAAGGAGUGGGAAGAAGAGGGAGCUUGGAGAAGCUUUGAGCAGGUCCUGAAUAGGCAAGUGAGGGGCUUGCCUUAACCCUACAGGAUUCUCAGUCUCCACGUCUACCUCCCACAACAUGUGCAAAUGCUUACAUUCAUGGUGGGUUUCUCCCUCUCCCUUGGAUCCCCAAAGCAGCAAGAGCUGGUGUGGAGCACUCCCCAGUCUAGGCUGGGGGACGCAAGGAGAAGCCAUCCUCACAGCAGUCUCUUCCUGAGAGAUGCUAAGGCGGUGGAGAGACUGCAUAAUGUGCCUUUCCAGGGGGUGUUUCUCUCUAUUGAUUAUUUGAACUGUUAAACUUGAUUACAUUUUACUUUAAUUGUACCAUUUGAAAUUAGAUUCAGGUAAGAUUUCAAACUUAUUAAAUAAAUGGCCCAUAGGACAUUUGGGGGAAUGUCUCAAAAAAGAAAAAUGUAAAUAGAAUCUACAUAUAAAAGUGAUCAAUUUAACAAGCUUUAAGGGGAAGGCAAAGUAAAACAAUAUGAUGUAAUUUGCAGCCACCAGACCGGCAAAAAUAUUCAAAUAUUGAUAAUAUCCAGUUUUAGCAAGAAAGAAUGUGGGGAAAAAUUAGCAAUGAAAUAGUUAUGAAAGUACUUUGGCAAUAUUUGGCAUAUGUUCUGAUCCCACAAUCCUGCUUCUAGAAAGCAUUUCUGUAAAAAUAAGAGCACAGAUUAGGACACACAUUUACAGCCUGUGCUAUAUGAACAAAGCUGAAAUUAACUGGGACUACCGAAUAAAUAAAAUACAUUAUAUUUGCAAAAUAUAUAAUUCAUAGCUAAUAUGACAUUUUAAUUUUUAUAUAAAAAUAUAUUUUUAUAUCUGCCCAUAUGCAUAUGCAUGCAUGCAUACCCAGACAUGUGUAUACACACAUUUACAUACCUGGAAGGAUGUUCCCGAUGUGUUAAAUGGAAAGAGCUAGUUGAAGGGUAGAAUAAAUGAUAUGAUAACGUUUUUGUUUCUAGAGAAGGGAAAGAUACUCUAUAUGAACAUAUAUUUAUAUUGUUGUUGGAAAAAUUUAAAAGUUGUGGGAAAAUCCCCACAAACUGCCAUCAUUGGCUCACUUGGGAAAGUAGAGGUGGAAAGGCAGUGAGCUAUGAUUAGUUUAUAUACCUUGGUGUUAUUUCAGUUUUACAACAAACAUAUAUUACUUUUUGUAAUAUAGGAAACUAUAGGUUUGUAACUAGGAAAAUAUAUAUAAAUUUCAAGAGGACAGAUUUCAGAUUAAUAUGAAUAAUUUUCUAAUAGGCAGGAUUAUUUGGAUUUAGCGAGGGCUCUUCAAGGGGUCACUAGUCUUUCUUAAUUGUGAGCGGUCAAGCAUAAGUUAGAUGAGGACAGUGUUAGGAAGGAGAUUCUGGUAUAAGAUGCAAAGUUGGACAAUGUAGCCUCAUUGGUCUUUUUAAAUUAUGACAUGCCAGGCUUCUACAAAGUCCACAUUUCAAGGCGUUUCUGCGUUUGGCCAAAUGAGAUGCUAGACUCUCAUUUCAAUGCAUUUUUGCGUCUUUAUUUACUUCAAAUUAGUAAGAAAUGUUGAAACCUAGAGUCAUCCUAAACUAUUUCUUUAGCUCUGAUCCCCCCUCAAGCAGCAAACAAAAUUACAACACAAUGUUGUAAGUGCUAUUCUGAAGAUGUGCUUUGCAAGGUGACUCUAAGCCAGCCUAGAAGUGGAGGGAUCAAGGAAGGGUUGCUGGAAGAGGUGACACCUGAGCUGAGUCUUAAAGGAUGUUUUCUCAAGGCUCACCUCCUCUGCAGAGUGCAGACCUCCACGUCGCUGCACUUUGCACACGUCUCCAUGAUCGCUUGCAUUGCACUAAUUGUCUUUGAUAUGUAUCUUCCUUCCUAGUUUCUAAAUUGCUAGGGAGAAACUAUGAGUUUUAUUUAUCAUUACACCUCAGCCAUGACUGCAUGACUAGCAGAACAUUCAAUAAAUAUUUAUAGAAUCGAUUGGUUUUCAUUUUAGUUCAUAACUCACAGACGUAGUGAAGGACAUCCAUUCUUAUGAAUUCUCAUGAUGAACAUUAAUUCACAGCACAGUUCUGCAUCUGCUUUUGAGUUUGUUGUUGUUGUUGUUGUUGUUGUUGUUUUGAGACAGAGUCUCACUGUCACCCAGGUUUGAGUGCCAUGGCACGAUCUUGGCUCACUGUAACCUCCACCUCCCGGGUUCAAGCGAUUCUCCUGCCUCAGACCCAAGUAGCUGAGAUUGCAGACGUGCGCCACCAAGCUCGGUUAAGUUUUGUAUUUUUAGUAGAGACAGGGUCUCACUAUGUUGGCCAGGCUGGUCUCAAACUCCUGACCUCAGGUGAUCGGCCCGCCUCGGCCUCCCAAAGUGCUGGGAUUACAGGCAUGAGCCAAUACGCCCGGCCUAUUUUUGAGAUUUUCUGCUGCUACUCCAGCUUAGCCUGACAGAGCUUUCACUUUUUGUUCCUACCCCUUCGUGUGCAUCUGAACAAUCCACAAGCCUCACGAACUCCUGUGGCUUCCCUCCCUUCGAGCUGUAUCCACCAUGACCUCUUGACCAGGGCUGAGGGAGAAGGAGGAGGGUCGUGCCACUAUCCUAGCACCCUCUGUCAAGAGCCACAGUCAUCAGAACCAUGGAGUGACUGACUGGAGAGAAGCAGCAAGAGACGGCCAGACAAAACAUCUUAAUGGGAUACUUAGUCUCUUUGUUUCAUUCAAGAGGGAUCUACCAAAAGGGAUCACCUCCUACAAAUGCUAAAUGGGUUUAAGGUUUAUACAGCAGCUCAUGUGGGUUCAGGGAUGCACAGGCAUUUCCCAACGUGUCAUCAUCCCUGGUUCUGAUAAAAUCCAGAGUGGGGCCUGUAAAUCAGAGGGCUUCACCCCUGAACCCACAGCAGCACCACCAAGACACAGUGUCCCCACUGUGCACAAGAUUACAGCUUCUCUCUUGCUGCCCUUUCAAUAUACCAGUCCUUACUCAAGCACACAAAAACUGUGCUUUUGCCCCUGGCAUUUGAGAAGUUUGUGAAUAGACACCAGCACUUGGAUAUUGAUUUUUCACACGAUGGUGACUUUUAAAUUCCUCUAUUGCUCCUGACUGAGUUUAGCAACCUCUUGACUAUUCUGGAAAACCAAAGAACUUCGGAAACAAUCAAACAAAUAUUAAAUUCAAUCACCCAGCAACACUGGGGAGGCAAAUGAAAUUUUACUCCUAAGAAUCUAAAGCCCCCAUAGUAAAUAUUUCUUUGCUGGCUGGCAAAUGAAUGUUUCUCAGCCCUUCUCAUGUCUGGAGACACCAAGUAAUGGGACAGCUCUUAAGCUGUCCCCAUGGUUUGUGACCAAGACUGGGGGCUACUUUGGCCUUCGUGGAAGUCCAGCACACUUCAACUGAGCUGCCAGUGGUGCCGAAUCCUGGAAAAUGCUGAGAGCCCUAAAAGUGGAUCAAGGAAAGGCUGUCAGUGCAUCAUCUCCCCCAGUCCUUGGCAAAGCCAGGGAGCAGGGUCCUGAUCCCCCAGAUUCCAGCUCUUCCUAAUGUUUCUCAGGAAAGAAGACUGCCCUGCUGCUGAUGGCCCAGGAGCCUGCCCAGAAAGCUCUGGGUAAAAAGCAAGAUGAAAAGAGUCCUCCAGUCUCCCCUCACCAAUGCCCUGCAGCUCACCACACCUUUCCUGUCCUGUAUACUUGUCUAGGAAUGACAUCCCCAGAAGAGAUCAGGCAUGGUACCACAGUGUGUUGAUGGGGAAAGGCAGAAAGGGAUCACUUUGGAAUAUGAAAUCAAUCAAGAGAGGGUAGUUCCUAGGGAACAGCCUAAUGACCCCAAGACUGAAACGAAGACCUAGGUGGUGGGAAAGCAAUGAAGAGAAAAGCUUCUAGAGACAUAAUCCAUGAAGACCUUGGUGAAGUCCCACCUAUUAAUACAAAAGGUGCCAAGUCCCAGAAUUGUCAGAGUGCAGCAGGGGCACAAUGAAAGCCUUGUGGGAAUGAAUUGGCUGGUGGCCUAGGAUGUGCCAUCAGAAACUAUUCCUGUUUUCCAUGCUGUAUGCCAAUAGCACUGAGCAGAGUCCCUUUAAGGCAAAACAAUGGUUAGGCCAUAUUACUCAUUUAACUGAAGGGCUAAGUAUGUAGAUGGGGUUUUUAGACAUUAUGAAAAGUUGACUGUGGUGGAAUUUGAACUGCAUUUAGCCUUUCAUUCGGCUUCUAUGAACUUUCCUAGUUGUACGGCACCCUGAAGCUGUGUUAUCAAGAUUCACCAUCAUUUGAUCUUGGUUGCUUGUGGUCUUAGUGGCUUGGGUUUCCUGUCAAAGGCAUUCCUGGUAAAUUAUUCCAAGGGUUAGUUACUUUGUGCAUCUUAUUUGCUGUUAUCUUGUAGUUACCCCUUGCACUCCAUGAAAUUCUAGCAUGCUGUCAUGAAAAGGACACCCAGGAGAA